CCUACGUGUGGCAGCAGUGGGGAAUAUUUGGCAAUGGGCGCAAGCCUGACCCAGCAACGCCGCGUGAAGGAAGAAGGCUUUCGGGUUGUAAACUUCUUUUGUUAGAGAAGAUAAUGACGGUAUCUAACGAAUAAGCACCGGCUAACUCCGUGCCAGCAGCCGCGGUAAUACGGAGGGUGCAGGCGUUACUCGGAAUCACUGGGCGUAAGGAGCGCGUAGGCGGGAGAGCAAGUCAGAUGUGAAAUCCUAUGGCUUAACCAGAGAAGUGCAUUUGAAACUGUUAUUCUAGAGUAUGGGAGAGGUAGGUGGAAUGCGUGGUGUAGGGGUAAAAUGCGUAGAGAUCAAGAGGAAUACUCAUUGCGAAGGCGACCUGCUAGAACAUAACUGACGCUGAUGCGCGAAAGCGUGGGGAGCAAACAGGAUUAGAGACCCGUGUAGUC
rnacentral:rRNA from 1 species